rnacentral:rRNA from 1 species
GACGGAGGGUGCAAACGUUGUUCGGAAUCACUGGGCGUAAAGGGCGCGUAGGCGGACUUGUAAGUCGGGCGUGAAAACUCGGGGCUCAACCCCGAGCCUGCUUCCGAAACUGCGAGUCUUGAGGACCGGAGAGGAAAGUGGAAUUCCUAGUGUAGCGGUGGAAUGCGUAGAUAUUAGGAAGAACACCAGUGGCGAAGGCGACUUUCUGGACGGUUCCUGACGCUGAGGCGCGAAAGCUAGGGGAGCAAACAGG